rnacentral:rRNA from 1 species
UACAGAGGGUGCAAGCGUUAAUCGGAAUUACUGGGCGUAAAGCGCGCGUAGGUGGUUUGUUAAGUUGGAUGUGAAAUCCCCGGGCUCAACCUGGGAACUGCAUUCAAAACUGACAAGCUAGAGUAUGGUAGAGGCGAGUGGAAUUCCCAGUGUAGCGGUGAAAUGCGUAGAUAUUGGGAAGAACACCGGUGGCGCAGGCGACUCGCUGGGCUGUAACUGACGCUGAGGAACGAAAGCCAGGGGAGCAAACAGG